AUUGAACGCUGGCGGCAGGCCUAACACAUGCAAGUCGAGCGGAUGAAGGGAGCUUGCUCCUGGAUUCAGCGGCGGACGGGUUAUUAAUGCCUAGGAAUCUGCCUGGUAGCGGGGGAUAACGUCCGGAAACGGGCGCUAAUACCGCAUACGUCCUGAGGGAGAAAGUGGGGGAUCUUCGGACCUCACGCUAUCAGAUGAGCCUAGGUCGGAUUAGCUAGUUGGUGGGGUAAAGGCCUACCAAGGCGACGAUCCGUAACUGGUCUGAGAGGAUGAUCAGUCACACUGGAACUGAGACACGGUCCAGACUCCUACGGGAGGCAGCAGUGGGGAAUAUUGGACAAUGGGCGAAAGCCUGAUCCAGCCAUGCCGCGUGUGUGAAGAAGGUCUUCGGAUUGUAAAGCGCUUUAAGUUGGGAGGAAGGGCAGUAAGUUAAUACCUUGCUGUUUUGACGUUACCAACAGAAUAAGCACCGGCUAACUUCGUG
rnacentral:rRNA from 1 species